GGAGAGAUAGCGAAGAGGCUAAACGCGUCGGACUGUAAAUCCGCUCCUUCGGGUUCGGGGGUUCGAAUCCCUCUCUCUCCA
rnacentral:tRNA from 1 species